rnacentral:rRNA from 1 species
UACAGAGGGUGCGAGCGUUAAUCGGAAUUACUGGGCGUAAAGCGCGCGUAGGCGGCUUUGCAAGUCAGACGUGAAAUCCCUCGGCUUAACCGGGGAACUGCGUCUGAUACUGGAUGGCUUGAGUUUGGGAGAGGGAUGCGGAAUUCCAGGUGUAGCGGUGAAAUGCGUAGAUAUCUGGAGGAACACCGGUGGCGAAGGCGGCUUUCUGGGCCCUACCUGACGCUGAGACGCGAAAGCGUGGGGAGCGAACCGG